rnacentral:lncRNA from 1 species
GUCGUGUCACAUGAACUCUCUGUUGAAGGCCUUUCUGCAAGACUUUCUUGGAUGGCUGCAUCAAAUGACCCUGAUCCUUCCUUCAGGUUGACAAAAAGAUCAUUGAUAGAAUCCAGGCUCCCUCCGCAUUAGCAUCACUGCCCUCAGGGUGGCGCUCAAGAGUGACUCCAGCUCAUCAGGAGCCAGAGGAGGGCAGAGGCUGGGUUUGCUCCCAGGCGGCCUUGGUGGGACACAUGGGCCCCUGACUUGAAGGAUGGCUCAGCUGCCAUUGACACAUGUGUGGGACUACAGAGGUCUGGGUCCCCUUCAAGCUCCCCGGCCAGAGCCCCACAUAGACCUGACCCAUCUGGCUAAGUUUCCUAGGGCCUCCCUAAAUUGCUGAGACUGGCCUCCACCUUGCCAUCCUCCUGCCUUGUCUCCUGAGUCGCUAGGGUCACAGACUUUCACCACCCGGCUCUGCCCUGCAACAGCUCCAUGAAGCACCUAUCAGGAGGCCCGGGCCCAAACUAGUAGGUCACUGCGCCUAAACUAGUAGGUGACUGCGUUGGUUAGCCAGCUUGGCUAGGCUAUGGUACCAGGUUUGGGGCAAACAUCGUAAUGGAUGUUUCUGUGAAGGUAUUUUGGGAAAGAGAUUAAUUUUAAAAUCUGCUUUGAGUAAAGCAGAUUAUGUUCCAUAAUGCUGUGGCCCUUGUCCAAUAAGUUGAAAGCCUGACAAGAAAAGACACCCCUCUGCAUAGGAAGGAGUCUUGUCUCCAGACUGCUGCUUUUGAACUCAGGACUGCCAUUUUAACUCCUGCUAGGAUUUGCAGACUCUCAGACUGCCCUGAAAAUUUCAUACUUGCCAGCCCCACCAUGUCCUAAGCCAUUUCCUUAAAAUUAAAGUCGUCCAUCACUUAAAGAUGGAGAUAGAUUCUGAGAAACCUGUUAGGUGAUUUCUUUUUAUUUUGGUGGGGGGACAGGGAUACUGGGAAUUGAACCAAGGGGUGCUCUUCUACUGAAC